AUUGAACGCUGGCGGCAGGCUUAACACGUGCAAGUCGAGCGGGGUGAUGGUGCUUGCACUAUCACUUAGCGGCGGACGGGUGAGUAAUGCUUAGGAAUCUGCCUAUUAGUGGGGGACAACAUCUCGAAAGGGAUGCUACUACCGCAUACGUCCUACGGGAGAAAGCAGGGGAUCACUUGUGACCUUGCGCUAAUAGAUGAGCCUAAGUCGGAGUAGCUAGUUGGUGGGGUAAAGGCCUACCAAGGCGACGAUCUGUAGCGGGUCUGAGAGGAUGAUCCGCCACACUGGGACUGAGACACGGCCCAGACUCCUACGGGAGGCAGCAGUGGGGAAUAUUGGACAAUGGGGGGAACCCUGAUCCAGCCAUGCCGCGUGUGUGAAGAAGGCCUUAUGGUUGUAAAGCACUUUAAGCGAGGAGGAGGCUCUUUUGGUUAAUACCCAAGAUGAGUGGACGUUACUCGCAGAAUAAGCACCGGCUAACUCUGUGCCAGCCGCCGCAGUAA
rnacentral:rRNA from 1 species